rnacentral:rRNA from 1 species
CAGCAGCCGCGGUAAUACGGAAGGUCCGGGCGUUAUCCGGAAUUAUUGGGUUUAAAGGGAGCGCAGGCGGGAGUAUAAGUCAGCUGUUAAAUAUCAGAGCCCAACUCUGUUAUGCAGUUGAAACUAUAUUUCUUGAGUACGCACAGGGAUGGCGGAAUUCAGGGUGUAGCGGUGAAAUGCUUAGAUAUCCUGAAGAACUCCGAUCGCGAAGGCAGCCAUCCGGAGCGUAACUGACGCUGAGGCUCGAAGGUGCGGGUAUCGAACAGGAUUAGAUACCCUGGUAGUCCGCACGGUAAACGAUGAAUACUCGCAGUUCGGUCAUUAUGAUUGAGUUGUCCAGCGAAAGCGUUAAGUAUUCCACCUGGGGAGUACGCCGGCAACGGUGAAACUCAAAGGAAUUGACGGGGGCCCGCACAAGCGGAGGAACAUGUGGUUUAAUUCGAUGAUACGCGAGGAACCUUACCCGGGCUUGAACCAAGAGUGACGAGUGCAGAGAUGCGCUUAUUCUUCGGACACUUUUGGAGGUGCUGCAUGGUUGUCGUCAGCUCGUGCCGUGAGGUGUCGGCUUAAGUGCCAUAACGAGCGCAACCCUUUUCUACGUUUGCCAUCGGGUAAUGCCGGGAACUCCGUGGAUACUGCCGCCGCAAGGCGGAGGAAGGUGGGGAUGACGUCAAAUCAGCACGGCCCUUACGUCCGGGGCUACACACGUGUUACAAUGGUCGGAGCAGCAGGAAGCUACCUGGCGACAGGAUGCUGAUCCCAAAACCCGGCCUCAGUUCGGACUGGAGUCUGCAACCCGACUCCACAAAGCCGGAUUCGCUAGUAAUCGCGCAUCAGCCAUGGCGCGGUGAAUACGUUCCCGGGCCUUGUACACACCGCCCGUCAAGCCAUGAAAGCCGGGGGUGCCUGAAAGCCGUGACCGCGAGGGUCGGCCUAGGGUAAAACCGGUGAUUGGGGCUAAGUCGUAACAAGGUAGCCGU